UGAAAUAUUAUAUCUUAAUUUUAGCACAUAAGCAACAAAUUUCUGAAACAUUUCUUGUUUUUUAAAAAAAAAAAGUUAACAAGAAAAAUUAAAAUGGUUCAAAAUUCAUGGACAAGUUUUGUGAUUUUCCAAAUAUCCUUAUAUAGCAAUAUUCCUUGAUGAAAUAAAACAAAUCCAGAUAUAUAUAUAUAUAAUCAUAAGUCAUAAGAAGUCUAAUCUAUCAGAAACAUGCAAGUCCAGAAUAAAAUUCUUAGAUAUUAAUUUGAUUAAAUUGCAAAGAUAGGUAAAUAGUCCUCUAUAAAAAAGUUCCAAACAGAACUGAAAAUAUAAGCAGGUGUAGCUAAAGUCCACACGAGAAAAUCCUCCUAUCAAGCAAAGGCAAACCAUUUUCAAAACCUUAUCACGUAAUACAUUUAAAAUUGCAAGGACUCCAUAAUUAAUUAUAAACUUUACAGGCUCAUAAUGAUCAAUCUAUUCUCUUCUCGUGAUCAAUUAAAAUUUCUAUCAAUUGACUGUAAUAACAAUUCUUCUGUGUG
rnacentral:misc_RNA from 1 species